AUUGAACGCUGGCGGCAGGCCUAACACAUGCAAGUCGAGCGGAGCGGCGGGCGGGUGAGUAAUGCCUAGGACUCUGCCUGGUCGUGGGGGAUAACGUCCGGAAACGGGCGCUAAUACCGCAUACUAUCAGAAGAGCCUAGGCCGGAUUAGAUAGUUGGUGGGGUAAAGGCCUACCAAGGCGACGAUCCGUAACUGGUCUGAGAGGAUGAUCAGUCACACUGGAACUGAGACACGGUCAAGAAUCCUAAGGGAGGCAGCAGUGGGGAAUAUUGGACAAUGGGCGGAAGCCUGGUGCAGCCAUGCCGCGUGUGUGAAGAAGGUCUUCGGGUUGUAAAGCACUUUAAGUUGGGAGGCGUUACCAACAGAAGAAGCACCGGCUAACUUCGUGCCAGCAGCCGCGGUAAUAC
rnacentral:rRNA from 1 species